rnacentral:tRNA from 1 species
GCGGGAUUAGUAUAAUGGUAGCACGCUUGCUUCCCAAGCAAGAGACGCGAGUUCGAUUCUCGUAUCCCGCUCUA